AAAUUUGAAAUCUGGCGCAAGCCCGAGUUGUAAUUUGUAGAGGAUGCUUCUGGCCAGCGGCCGUUCUAAGUUCCUUGGAACAGGACGUCAUAGAGGGUGAGAAUCCCGUAUGUGACCGGCGCGCAGCCUUUACGUAGCUCCUUCGACGAGUCGAGUUGUUUGGGAAUGCAGCUCUAAAUGGGAGGUAAAUUUCUUCUAAAGCUAAAUACCGGCCAGAGACCGAUAGCGCACAAGUAGAGUGAUCGAAAGAUGAAAAGCACUUUGGAAAGAGAGUUAAAAAGCACGUGAAAUUGUUGAAAGGGAAGCGCUUGCAACCAGACUUUGCGGCGAUGUUCCGCCGGUCUUCUGACCGGUCUACUCAUCGUCGCGAGGCCAACAUCGUCUGGGACCGCUGGAUAAGACCUAAGGAAUGUGGCUUCCCUCGGGAAGUGUUAUAGCCUGUGGUGAUGCAGCGCGUCUCGGGCGAGGUCCGCGCUUCGGCAAGGAUGUUGGCGUAAUGGUUGUCAGCGGCCCGUCUUGAAACACGGACCAAGGAGUCUAACAUCUAUGCGAGUGUUCGGGUGUCAAACCCCUACGCGUAAUGAAAGUGAACGGAGGUGGGAAGCGCAAGCUGCACCAUCGACCGAUCCUGAUGUCUUCGGAUGGAUUUGAGUAAGAGCAUAGCUGUUGGGACCCGAAAGAUGGUGAACUAUGCCUGAAUAGGGUGAAGCCAGAGGAAACUCUGG
rnacentral:rRNA from 1 species